GAUCGCUCAGACUUUCGUCUCUGAGAAGGAGUGGCACAGAUCACAGGGCUGCAGUGAGCCUGCGGAGCGAAACCAGUGAGUCAACACUCAAGCUGUGUGUCUGGUUCCUCAGAGCCGCAAGGUGGACCCGCCUCCAAUGGAUACUGACUGAUUCCAACCACCAGCUUCCAGGAUCUUCCCGACCCAGGGAUCGAACCCAUGUCUUCUCCACUGGCAGGAAGAUUCUUCACCACUGAACCACCUGGGAGGUCCAACUUCCAUAAUAUUGUACACUGACUAUGCUUCAAACGAAAAGAAUUUUUUUUUUAAUUUUAAAGCUUAAGAAUAAAUAAAUAAAAACUA